GAGUCCUUGGUGUUCAACGGUAGCAUACUCGGCUGUAACCCGACAGGUAUAGGUUCAAAUCCUUUAGGACUCAC
rnacentral:tRNA from 1 species